GGUUGCUGCUCUCCAUGAGCUGUUCCAACUGUGAAGCAAAAGCUUCAUGCAUAAAGGCAUCCCAACGCAGUCAAUGACGCACAGGAGAAAGAGGACAGAGAUAAGCUUCUUGCCUGUUCCAGACACUGAGGAUCAGGCAGAGAGAGAGGCUCCUGCCAGGCUGAGCUUUUCCGGAGUGUGGAUAUGAACAGCCGUCUUGGGUCCUGAGGUGGAAGCCAUGUGUGGAAGAUGGAGGGCAUCGGUUAGAAGGAGUCUAGUCCCUGAUGGUCACUGAGCUGCAGAACCAGCCUGGGCUGCUUCCUGCUGGAUGUCACUUACUAGAGAGCGAAAUUAAAUGUGCUUCAGCUACUGUUA
rnacentral:lncRNA from 1 species